ensembl:lncRNA
AUGUAUUGUCAGAGCUCCACGCUGGGUGAUAUUUCAUCCCUGGAGGCCUGCCAGGUCAUUCCUGAGGACAGACACUAGGCUAUAUCUGCUGGCUGACAGCAGCCAGGACAUAAAAGCUACCAUUGUUUCAGCAGUCUGUUGUGGCCUCAGUCAGUGCACAUCUUAUAGACAACAGCCAGUUUGUCACAAUGUCAAUUCAGGUGAGCAUCAUUUUGCAGCUUGUUUUGGAUACUGUGUCUUUUUUUUAUCUGUUUUGU